rnacentral:rRNA from 2 species
UCAACAAGUUGAAGGAACCAACAGGGUAUUGCCUUAGUAACUGCGAGUGAAGCGUGCAAAAGCUCAAAUUUGAAAUCUGGGUCUUCGGCGUCCGAAUUGUAAUUUGGAGAGACAUCUUCGGGGUAGGCGCUGUCCUAAGUUCCUUGGAACAGGACGUCACAGAGGGUGAGAAUCCCGUGUCUGGAUGGCUGCCCUACUCCAUGUGAAGUGUCUUCGACGAGUCGAGUUGUUUGGGAAUGCAGCUCAAAAUGGGAGGUAAAUUUCUUCUAAAGCUAAAUAUUGGCGAGAGACCGAUAGCGCACAAGUAGAGUGAUCGAAAGAUGAAAAGCACUUUGAAAAGAGAGUUAAAAAGUACGUGAAAUUGUUGAAAGGGAAGCGCUUGAGACCAGACUCGGUCAGUGGUGAUCAGCGGUGCUUCUGUACCGUGCACUUGCCAUUGACUGGGCCAGCAUCGGUUCGGACGGCGGGAUAAAGGCCUUAGGAAUGUGGCUCUCUUCGGGGAGUGUUAUAGCCUAGGGUGCAAUGCCGCCAGUCUGGACCGAGGACCGCGCUUCGGCUAGGAUGCUGGCGUAAUGGUCUUCAGCGACCCGUCUUGAAACACGGACCAAGGAGUCUAACAUCUAUGCGAGUGUUCGGGUGGAAAACCCUUGCGCGUAAUGAAAGUGAACGGAGGUGAGAACACUUCGGUGUGCAUCAUCGACCGAUCCUGAUGUCUUCGGAUGGAUUUGAGUAUGAGCAUAGCUGUUGGGACCCGAAAGAUGGUGAACUAUGCCUGAAUAGGGUGAAGCCAGAGGAAACUCUGGUGGAGGCUCGCAGCGGUUCUGACGUGCAAAUCGAUCGUCAAAUUUGGGUAUAGGGGCGAAAGACUAAUCGAACCAUCUAGUAGCUGGUUCCUGCCGAGUUUCCCCUUCAGGAAAACAACCGCCCAGUUACAAAUGGUUCGAUUAGUCUUUCGCCCUAUACCAAAUUUGACGAUGAUUUGCACGUCGAACGCUGCGAGCUCACCUGAAGUUCCUCUGGCUUCACCUAUUCAGGCAUAGUUUACAUCUUUCGGGUCACAGCUAUGCUCAUACUCAAAUCAUCGAAGACUCAGAUCGAUGAAGGAGGCACCGAUGUUUCAUCUCGUACUUUCUCUACGCCAGGGCUUCACGACCUCGCAUGAAUGUUAGAUCUUUGUCGGGAUUCAGACGGGCGCUUAACAUUACGAUCUACGAAUGCGUCUGUGCUAUGGUGCUGUCACAUUAGGCUUUAUACUUCG